rnacentral:rRNA from 1 species
CCCUUAGAUGUUCUGGGUCGCACGCGUGCUACACUGAGUAAUUCAAUGGGUAAGGGAACGCUAGAGCAUUACCUAAUCUUGAAAUUUGCUCGUGAUGGGGAUCGACGGUUGCAAUUUUCCGUCGUGAACGAGGAAUACCUUGUAGGCGCAUGUCAUCAUCAUGCGCCGAAUACGUCCCUGCCCUUUGUACACACCGCCCGUCGCUCCUACCGAUUGAGUGAUCCGGUGAGGCUCUGGGACCUGGACGGAAAGAGCGUUUCGCUUGUUCUGUUUGGGAAACUUGGUCGAACCUUAUCAUUUAGAGGAAGGAGAAGUCGUAACA